rnacentral:lncRNA from 1 species
CUUGCUGAGGAUAACUUCAACUAUUUGCUUUUAAAAGUAAUAUAAGUCAUUGCAACAGAGGUGUUAAAGGUUAAAAUAUCAAUUAUGGGAUGGGACUCUCCUAAAUCAUACAUAUUGAUCAUAGGAUGCAACUCUCGUGAGUACCUUUUUGUUCUCCCCACCUCCUGCCCAAAAAAUAAAGGAAUAUAUAUUGAAUUCUCUUAGUAAAUUUUACAAGCCAACGAUAGCUCACCUUGUACUUUUUUAAAUAACUUGGCCAUCAAAAUUAAAAUCUUUUUUUAACUAUCCCACCUAGUUAUGUACUCCACU